GUUGCGAUUUUAUUUGUUGCAGCUCCGACAUCGUAGUAACUUUCUUUCGGGACUUGUCUGGGAAUAAAAUCACAAUAGCUCCAUCAGCCGUCCAGCAUUUUUUCAUGCCAAAAUAAUUGCGAGCUGCCACAAAUAUGUCUUGCCGGGUCUUAGUUAAAAACUCGGUAAUUGUGACCUUAGUACCUUUUAAACUGGUUUUAGCUUUCCACGCUUUAGAGCGAAGCUGCAUGUUUGAAAAACGAACAAGUAUGGGCCGUGCAGAGUCCUUUUUAGUGCCAAGUCUGUGGCAAGAACUAAGAUGUUCUACUUUUAUGUCAGGUAUCUUCAUUUGGUUAGAUAACACUGCAAGGACUCUUUUCUGCACAUCUUCAUCCUUGUCUUCUUUUAUACCAUGGAACAGAAGAAGUUUCUUGCGGGAUUGUGUCUCAAUUCGAUCCAUGCCUUGAGCCAACAGUUCAAUUUGGGACUUAAGCAAGGACAGAGUUUUCCAUACCAGGGUUUUGAAGGUAACCAUUGAAGACAGUUCCUCCAUAUUCUUCUGAAGAUGUUCGAUUGAGGAGUUCAUUGUGGCACUUUGUUUUCAAAUUAGUGUGAAAGAGUGUGGAGAGAGUCAACUUACACUGUAGUAACUUAACUUUUGCACAUAUAUCUAUAUAGUAAAAUAUAAUUAAAAAUAAAUAGGAGCACCAAAAAAUACGUCUUUAUACUUUCGUGUCUACCCGCCGAAAAA